GAUGAAGAACGUAGCGAAAUGCGAUAAGUAAUGUGAAUUGCAGAAUUCAGUGAAUCAUCGAAUCUUUGAACGCACAUUGCGCCCGCCAGUAUUCUGGCGGGCAUGCCUGUUCGAGCGUCAUUUCAACCCUCAGGCUCCCAGUGCCUGGUGUUGGGGAUCGGCCCAGCCUUCCUGUAAGGCCGCCGGCCCCGAAAUCUAGUGGCGGUCUCGCUGUAGUCCUCCUCUGCGUAGUAGCACAACCUCGCAGUUGGAACGCGGCGGUGGCCAUGCCGUUAAACACCCCACUUCUGAAAGUUGACCUCGGAUCAGGUAGGAAUACCCGCUGAACUUAAGCAUAUCAAUAAGCGGAGGA
rnacentral:misc_RNA from 1 species